GACGAACGCUGGCGGCGUGCCUAAUACAUGCAAGUCGAGCGAACAGAUAAGGAGCUUGCUCCUUUGACGUUAGCGGCGGACGGGUGAGUAACACGUGGGUAACCUACCUAUAAGACUGGGAUAACUUCGGGAAACCGGAGCUAAUACCGGAUAACAUUUGGAACCGCGUGGUUCUAAAGUGAAAGAUGGUUUUGCUAUCACUUAUAGAUGGACCCGCGCCGUAUUAGCUAGUUGGUAAGGUAACGGCUUACCAAGGCGACGAUACGUAGCCGACCUGAGAGGGUGAUCGGCCACACUGGAACUGAGACACGGUCCAGACUCCUACGGGAGGCAGCAGUAGGGAAUCUUCCGCAAUGGGCGAAAGCCUGACGGAGCAACGCCGCGUGAGUGAUGAAGGGUUUCGGCUCGUAAAACUCUGUUAUUAGGGAAGAACAAAUGUGUAAGUAACUGUGCACGUCUUGACGGUACCUAAUCAGAAAGCCACGGCUAACUACGUG
rnacentral:rRNA from 1 species